AUUGAACGCUGGCGGCAGGCCUAACACAUGCAAGUCGAACGAGUGGCGGACGGGUGAGUAAUGUCUGGGAAACUGCCUGAUGGAGGGGGAUAACUACUGGAAACGGUAGCUAAUACCGCAUACCAUCAGAUGUGCCCAGAUGGGAUUAGCUAGUUGGUGGGGUAACGGCUCACCAAGUAGACGAUCCCUAGCUGGUCUGAGAGGAUGACGAACCACACUGUAAAUGAGACACGGUCCAGACUCCUACGGGAGGCAGAGUUGGGGAAUAUUGGACAAUGGGCGCAAGCCAAAUGCAGCCAUGCCGCGUGUAUGAGGAGGGCCUUCGGGUUGUAAAGUACUUUAAGCGGGGAGGCGGUACCCGAAGAAGAAGCACCGGCUAACUCCGUGCCAGCAGCCGCGGUAAUAC
rnacentral:rRNA from 1 species